rnacentral:rRNA from 1 species
ACUCCUGCGGGAGGCAGCAGUGGGGAAUAUUGGACAAUGGGCGCAAGCCUGAUCCAGCCAUGCCGCGUGAGUGAUGAAGGCCCUAGGGUUGUAAAGCUCUUUCACCGGUGAAGAUAAUGACGGUAACCGGAGAAGAAGCCCCGGCUAACUUCGUGCCAGCAGCCGCGGUAAUACGAAGGGGGCUAGCGUUGUUCGGAUUUACUGGGCGUAAAGCGCACGUAGGCGGACUAUUAAGUCAGGGGUGAAAUCCCGGGGCUCAACCCCGGAACUGCCUUUGAUACUGGUAGUCUUGAGUUCGGGAGAGGUGAGUGGAAUUCCGAGUGUAGAGGUGAAAUUCGUAGAUAUUCGGAGGAACACCAGUGGCGAAGGCGGCUCACUGGCUCGAUACUGACGCUGAGGUGCGAAAGCGUGGGGAGCAAACAGGAUUAGAAACCCCAGUAGUCCCA